AGAGUACCAAUCCUAGAACCCAUAGCCACUAGCUUUGACGCGGCCAUCUGAUUAGUUGUUAAAGUACCUGUUUUGUCAGAACAGAUCACUGUUGUACAUCCAUACAACCUAGAGUCUCAACACUAGGCAACUUUCUAACAAGUGCAUUCUUUUGAGCCAUCUUUCGAGUUCCAAGUGCCAAACAUGUUGUAAUGACUGCAGGCAAUCCUUCUGGUAUAGCAGCCACUGCCAGUGCCACAGCAAUCUCAAAGUAAUAUGUGC
rnacentral:misc_RNA from 1 species